UACGUAGGUGGCAAGCGUUGUCCGGAUUUACUGGGCGUAAAGAGCGCGCAGGCGGUCGUUCAAGUCGCGUGUGAAAGCCCCCGGCUCAACUGGGGAGGGUCACGCGAUACUGAUCGACUCGAAGGCAGGAGAGGGUAGUGGAAUUCCCGGUGUAGUGGUGAAAUGCGUAGAUAUCGGGAGGAACACCAGUGGCGAAGGCGACUACCUGGCCUGUUCUUGACGCUGAGGCGCGAAAGCUAGGGGAGCA
rnacentral:rRNA from 1 species